GGGGGUGGGGCGGGCGGCGGAGGGAUAAAGUGUUAAAGAUGACUAUGGUAUAAAGAAGCAUUGAUACAUAUGAAUAUACUUUUUUUUUAUCUGAAUAUGUAUGCACUGUUGGUUUUCUUAUGUUAGGGUGGAUGGUGCCUUUUGGAAGCCAACUAGGACCAAUCACUUGCAACAUAGGAUAAAGGCUAAGCAUGUGCCUACAGUUCAGUGCAUGAUGCAUAGAUUUAAAGACCAUGGUCCAAACCAAGUAUCAUCAAACAAAAGGAAAAUAGCCCAUAAGAGGAUACCU
rnacentral:misc_RNA from 1 species